CCUACGGGUGGCAGCAGUAGGGAAUAUUGCUCAAUGGGGGAAAGUCUGAAGCAGCAACGCCGCGUGGAGGAUGAAGGUUUUAGGAUUGUAAACUUCUUUUGAUAGAGAAGUUUAUGACGGUAUCUAACGCAUAAGCACCGGCUAACUUCGUGCCAGCAGCCGCGGUAAUACGGAGGGUGCCAGCGUUACUCGGAAUCACUGGGCGUAAAGCGUGCGUAGGCGGGGUAAUAAGUCAGUUGUGAAAUCCUGUAGCUUAACUAUAGAACUGCAUUUGAAACUGUUACUCUGGAGUGUGGGAGAGGUAGGCGGAAUUCGUGGUGUAGGGGUAAAAUCCGUAGAGAUCAAGAAGAAUACUGAUUGCGAAGGCGACCUGCUGGAACAUUACUGACGCUGAUGCACGAAAGCGUGGGGAGCGAAAGGGAUUAGAUACCCGAGUAGUC
rnacentral:rRNA from 1 species